GGCGUAAAGCGCACGCAGGCGGUUUGUUAAGUCAGAUGUGAAAUCCCCGGGCUCAACCUGGGAACUGCAUCUGAUACUGGCAAGCUUGAGUCUCGUAGAGGGGGGUAGAAUUCCAGGUGUAGCGGUGAAAUGCGUAGAGAUCUGGAGGAAUACCGGUGGCGAAGGCGGCCCCCUGGACGAAGACUGACGCUCAGGUGCGAAAGCGUGGGGAGCAAACAGGAUUAGAUACCCUGGUAGUCCACGCCGUAAACGAUGUCGACUUGGAGGUUGUGCCCUUGAGGCGUGGCUUCCGGAGCUAACGCGUUAAGUCGACCGCCUGGGGAGUACGGCCGCAAGGUUAAAACUCAAAUGAAUUGACGGGGGCCCGCACAAGCGGUGGAGCAUGUGGUUUAAUUCGAUGCAACGCGAAGAACC
rnacentral:rRNA from 1 species